AUUGAACGCUGGCGGCAGGCCUAACACAUGCAAGUCGAACGAGUGGCGGACGGGUGAGUAAUGUCUGGGAAACUGCCUGAUGGAGGGGGAUAACUACUGGAAACGGUAGCUAAUACCGCAUACCAUCGGAUGUGCCCAGAUGGGAUUAGCUAGUAGGUGGGGUAAAGGCUCACGUAGGCGACGAUCCCUAGCUGGUCUGAGAGGAUGACCAGCCACACUGGAACUUGGACACGGUCCAGACGCCUACGGGAGGCAGCAGUGGGGAAUAUUGAAGAAUGGGCGCAAGCCUGAUGCAGUCAUGCCGCGUGUAUGAAGAAGGCCUUCGGGUUGUAAAGUACUUUCAGCGGGGAGGCGUUACCCGCAGAAGAAGCACCGGCUAACUCCGUGCCAGCAGCCGGGGUAAGAG
rnacentral:rRNA from 1 species